rnacentral:rRNA from 1 species
CGUUAGCGGCGGACGGGUGAGUAACACGUGGGUAACCUACCUAUAAGACUGGGAUAACUUCGGGAAACCGGAGCUAAUACCGGAUAAUAUCUCGAACCGCAUGGUUCGAUAGUGAAAGAUGGUUUUGCUAUCACUUAUAGAUGGACCCGCGCCGUAUUAGCUAGUUGGUAAGGUAACGGCUUACCAAGGCGACGAUACGUAGCCGACCUGAGAGGGUGAUCGGCCACACUGGAACUGAGACACGGUCCAGACUCCUACGGGAGGCAGCAGAC